CAUCAUAUUCAAAAGGUCUUGAGGCUGUAAUUGCAGCCAAAGAUGCACCAACAAAUUAUUGAGCUAAGGAUGUGAAUACUUAUGUACAAGAGAUUUCAUAUUUAUUUUUAAUAAAUUUGCAAAAAUUUUAAAAUA